ACCAGAAUGGCCGAGGUGGUUAAGGCAUUGGACUUAAGAUCUAAGGGGCAAAUGCCCGCGUGGUUCAAAUCACGCUUCUGGUA